GUUCUUCCGCCAGCGCCCAUCGUGAAGACCACAGUUUCCUGUCGCGUGGAUGUGUUUCCUCUCUGGCCAUUGCCAUCCGCCCAAAUCUACAGACAUCCCGCAUGUUCCCGGGCUCGUCUCCCCAAUACAGGGCACCAAGGCUGUAGACUGCGCAGCCCUCCUGGAGACAGAUGGAAGCUCCUUGGGUCGACAGAUUACAGCUUCUGGAACCCCCUACUCCCUUCAACUCCGAGAUGGACACCCACUGUCCAGGGAGAGGAUGCCUGGAAAUAACAGCUGGGAUCUACAGUGGCCAAAGAGUUGUCUCCGUCUUGCUACAUCGACAAACUGGUGCUCCUGAGUGAGGAUUGUGCCCUGGGAUGGGGGAUUCAGUUUCUUCAUUUAUAGUUGGAAGUGGGUGAAGGUGAGCCACUUCGGAAGCGUUUUCCUCUCCACUCUGACAACAGGCAAGAGUGAGGGUCCAACAAUACAGAGGAAGUAACGUGUCGCUGCUACUCUUCCAUGCCCAGUGCCAGGAGCGACGGUACACUCCAGAGUGCUGUGCCCUGAUGGGCCUUUGAGUGGCCAGUGCAGUGGAUCAUCAGCCCUGUCUCCCAAGAGCUCCAGUCCCUUCUCCGGAGAGGAAGUGGGUCCACUGGCAGCUCAGGAGGCCAUAGCAGCCUUACGGAAGUGUGGGUGGCGCUUUCUGGAAGCUGCACAAGUCAGUGCUGGGUCUUCGCAACUUGGUGUUCUGUUUCCAGAAACUUGGGGUGUUUGCAUGUGCUAGGUCAGCACAGAUUUCCAAAGGAUCUCUAGGAUUGUCACGUGUGCUCAACAGUCCUCCUCGGCUUUCCAGAAGAGGCUGGAACAGGGCCCUUGAAGAUGUUUGUGGACAUCAGAGGGCCAAAGACGACACAAAGUGAAACUGGAGACACCGCCCCCCCUUGGCAUCAUGAAACUGCCGAUGUUACUGGCUCAUGCAUGGGAGACACCAGCAUACAAAGUCUUGACACCAACACCUCAGAGGGCUGUGUUCUGUCCCCGUGACCAUCAUCUAGUGCCUGGAAAGACUAGUGACAAGAACUUGUUGCCAACUUCCUAUUACCUCCCUAACAGUUGUGCAAUAAACCCCAUAGGUUAAUUCA
rnacentral:lncRNA from 1 species